rnacentral:lncRNA from 1 species
GAAAGGCUCCUAGUUAUUCACAUUUAAGAGCAUUUGGCUGUCUUGCCUAUGCUACUGUCCCAGUCCCACAGAGAGAUAAACUGAAGCCUAGAGCUAUUUCAUGUGUCUUUCUUGGAUAUCCCUUUGCCAAAAAGGGUUACAGGUUGUAUGACCUAACUACUAAAAAGUGUUUUGUGUCCAGGGAUGUUAUAUUUCAUGAAACUUGUUUUCCCUUUGCAACUGCUUCUGUUGUUACCUCUGGUCCUUCUGUUUUUCCUUCUCCUUCUGUCUGUUCCCUAAGCAUCCCUAUUCUUCUUGUUUUCCUUUUGCAUCUGCUUCUGAUGUUACCUCUGCUACUUCUGUUUUUCCUUCUCCUUCUGUCCCUUCCCCUGAGCAUCCUUAUUCUGAGAUUGAUCUGUCUGUUCCCAUUUGCUCUUCUCAUUCUGCACCUUUUCCUUCUGCUUCCAGUCCUGUUCCCUCUUCUUUUUCUCCCUCACUAUUUUCUGAUCUUAACCAACUUGCAUCCAGUCCUUUUUUCAAUACUGAUACUUCUUCUCAUGCUAUUUCUUCCUCUAUUGCUCCUACUGGCCACAGAAGAUCUGGCAGGCAACAUAAUCCUCCCUCUUAUCUCAAUGAUUAUGUUUGUCACUUACCUUCUUUUUCUGGCUCUUCCUCCUCUUCUUCUCCUUUGGAAUAUGAACCCCUCUAUUAUUCUCA